rnacentral:rRNA from 1 species
GGGGAAGCAAUCGAGUGCAGCUCGAUCACUCCAACCCUGUGACAUACCAAUUGUUGCCUCGAGCGGAUCAGCCCGCUCCCGGUAAAACGGGACGGCCCGCACAGAGGACCCCUAAACUCUGUUUCUAUAUGUAACUUCUGAGUAAAACCAUAAAUAAAUCAAAACUUUCAACAACGGAUCUCUUGGUUCUGGCAUCGAUGAAGAACGCAGCAAAAUGCGAUAAGUAAUGUGAAUUGCAAAAUUCAGUGAAUCAUCAAAUCUUUGAACGCACAUUGCGCCCGCCAAUAUUCUGGCGGGCAUGCGUGUUCGAGCGUCAUUUCAACCCUCAAGCCCCCGGGUUUGGUGUUGGGGAUCGGCGAGCCCUCGCGGCAAGCCGGCCCCGAAAUCUAGUGGCGGUCUCGCUGCAUCUUCCAUUGCGUAAUAAUAAAACCCUCGCAACUGGUACGCGGCGCGGCCAAGCCGUUAAACCCCCAACUUCUGAAUGUUGACCUCGGAUCGGUAGGAAUACCCGCUGAACUUAAGCAUAUCAAUAAGCGGAAG